rnacentral:sRNA from 1 species
CGGGGAGCCGGCCCACGGGCGGCGGGGCUGGGCCCGGGGCUCCCAGGCGCUGACCCCCGGGGCCCGCAGGCGUGUGGCUCACGGACCUGGUGCACGUGGCGGCCCACGAGAUCGGCCACGCGCUGGGCCUGAUGCACUCACAACACGGCCGGGCGCUGAUGCACCUGAACGCCACGCUGCGCGGCUGGAAGGCGUUGUCCCAGGACGAGCUGUGGGGGCUGCACCGGCUCUACGGUGAGUCCCUUUGUCGGGCGGGAGGGCGGGGACCGGGCGGUCCCGAGCCAGGCCGUGCUCCCCACGCUCCCGACAGGAUGCCUCGACAGGCUGUUCGUGUGCGCGUCCUGGGCGCGGAGGGGCUUCUGCGACGCUCGCCGGCGGCUCAUGAAGAGGCUCUGCCCCAGCAGCUGCGACUUCUGCUACGAAUUCCCCUUCCCCACGGUGGCCGCCACCCCACCGCCCCCCAGGACCAAAACCAGGCUGGUGCCUGAGGGCAGGAACGUGACCUUCCGCUGCGGCCAGAAGAUCCUCCACAAGAAAGGGAAAGUGUACUGGUACAAGGACCAGGAGCUCCUGGAGUUCUCCUAUCCCGGCUACCUGGCCCUGGGCGAGGCGCACCUGAGCAUCAUCGCCAACGCCGUCAACGAGGGCACCUACACCUGCGUGGUGCGCCGCCAGCAGCGCGUGCUAACCACCUACUCAUGG